CCUGACAACAGCCGCCUGAGCCGUUCGAGCCACGUGUGCGAGUUGUGCCUCCAACCGCCCGCAAGUGUCAAGUCGAGCCGCACGCGUGUUGUUUUGCUGAGUCGUGCCUAGAGUCUACCCGAGUGGAGCCACACGCGAGUCCUUAGCUGAGUCGACUAGCCAGUCCCUUCUUCCAGCUGAGCUGCCAGUCGGUUUUCCCCCUCCAGUCAAGCCAGUUGAGCUGCCAAGCUUCUUUUAACCCUAUUUUUGACCCAUUUUUCUUGGUAAGCCUUGGUAUGCUUGAUUUGGUUUAGUCUACCCAGCUAAGGUUUAUUUUGACCUUAACUAAGUUAAUUGUUGGAUUAAAUUGACUAUAGUUAACUGGAAGCCGAGCUGGGAAUUUGUCCAACUAAGUCUAAACCGAGUUAGGCCUUGAUCUUGGGUAAGUUACUUCAAAUGGAUUUUUGGACCCUUAAUUCUUUAAAGGUUAAAUUAUUAAAUUUAGUUUUUAUAACUAUUUAGGACAUCGCUGCUUGGAAGGCGUGAUUUUACUGUUAAAUUUUGAUUGAUCUAAUCUCCAGUCAGAGGCAGAGAUAAGAGCAAAGGCAAGCUGGCGAGUGACCAGAAGUGAUCGUGGCGAGCCAUAGGGAUCUUUUGCUUCCGCUUUAUGUCAUAGUUCAGAUUUUAAUGUUUGCAUUUUAUUUUAUUCUUUAUUUGUUAUUUUAUUUCUUUAAAACUAGAUAGGGCCCAAGUUAAGAUUUUAUUUUUGUACU